GUACUGCUCACAACACCCUAUUUUGGGUAAAAAUAGGAAAUAUAAUACUUUUCUCUAAAAAAAAAACAGGAUUCCCUAAAUUAUCGUCGUUUGAUAUCGUUAUAGCAAUAAAUUUCAGAAAUUAUCAUGAUACAUUUUAAAGCCCAUAUCGCCCAUCCCUAUACUGGGCCCACAUCCCCUCCCUCACUUUAUUAUAAGAAAUGGUCUGCUGUACUGUGUCGCCCACAGGCAGGGGGAGGAAAAAGUGCUUCUGGUCGUGCCAAAGACCAAGACGGAGAUAGUCAUGGAACUAGCACAUGCCCAUCCGAUGGUGGGACACCUGGGAGCCGAGAACACAGUCCAGCGCAUCCGGGACCGUUUCCACUGGCCAGGCCUGGAUGCUUAAGUGAAAUGGUUCUGCCGAAGCUGCCCUACCUGCCAGAAGAAGGCGCCCCAUCGACCGUGGCGCAAAGGAUGGGACGAUCCUUUGCCGUCUUCAGUUGCUGGAGAAUGGAUGGCUUGGCUGGAAGACCUUCAUGACCUUGAAAAUUGGAAGGAGCUACUGGCUGAACUGCAUCUAGAAGUAAUGGUUGAAUAUGUGAGGCAAAUGAUGAAGAGAAAAUGGAAACUAAAAAAUAGACAAAGAGCAGCAAGAAGCAGCUGCUGAGUUCAUCUGCUCUGUGUUUGCCAAAGUGGGAUCCAGAGAGGAAUGGCUCUGUCAAACACUGCCCAAAUCAUCAGAGAUUCUGAGACUGUAGGAUCCUGGGAGUUUGCAACAUAGUAAGAGACUGUUUUAACAUUAUGUGUGUCUGUUAGAUAGCAACUGGCAAGAUGCAGAUGUUUAACCUAAGAGGCAGAUG